AAGGGGUCAGCGCAAGCGAAGCUCCUGAUCGAAGCCCCGGUAAUCGGCGGCCGUAACUAUAACGGUCCUAAGGUAGCGAUAUUCCUUGUCGGGUAAGUUCCGACCUGCACGAAUGGCGUAUUGAUGGCCAGGCUGUCUCCACCCGAGACUCAGUGAAAUUGAUCUCGCUGUGAAGAUGCAGUGUACCCGCGGCAAGACGGAUAGACCCCGUGAACCUUUACUAUAGCUUGACACUGAACAUUGAGCCUUGAUGUGUAGGUUAGGUGGGAGGCUUUGAAGCGUGGACGCCAGUCUGCGUGGAGCCGACCUUGAAAUACCACCCUUUAAUGUUUGAUGUUCUAACGUGGACCCGUGAUCCGGGUUGCGGACAGUGUCUGGUGGGUAGUUUGACUGGGGCGGUCU
rnacentral:rRNA from 1 species